rnacentral:rRNA from 1 species
AUUGAACGCUGGCGGCAGGCUUAACACAUGCAAGUCGAGCGGAGACUUCGGUCUUAGCGGCGAACGGGUGAGUAAUACCUAGGAAUCUGCCUAUUAGUGGGGGAUAACGGCUCGAAAGGGUCGCUAAUACCGCAUAUUCUGUGAGCAGGAAAGCAGGGGAUCGCAAGACCUUGCGCUGAUUGAGCGGCCGAUAUCAGAUUAGCUAGUUGGUGGGGUAAAGGUCCACCAAGGCGACGAUCUGUAGCUGGUCUGAGAGGACGACCAGCCACACUGGGACUGAGACACGGUCCAGACUCCUACGGGAGGCAGCAGUGGGGAAUUUUGGACAAUGGGCGCAAGCCUGAUCCAGCAAUGCCGCGUGCAGGAAGAAGGCCUCGGUUGUAAACGUUAGACUUUGUUACGGUACGAAAAGGUACUAGGGUUAAGUAACCCUCGGGCGUCAUGACGGUACCGUAAGAAUAAGACACCGGCGUAACUACGUAGCCAGCAG